UACGAAGGGUGCGAGCGUUAAUCGGAAUUACUGGGCGUAAAGCGCGCGUAGGCGGUUUGUUAAGUUGGAGGUGAAAUCCCCGGGCUCAACCUGGGAACUGCCUCCAAAACUGGCUGACUAGAGUACGGUAGAGGGUGGUGGAAUUUCCUGUGUAGCGGUGAAAUGCGUAGAUAUAGGAAGGAACACCAGUGGCGAAGGCGACCACCUGGACUGAUACUGACGCUGAGGUGCGAAAGCGUGGGGAGCAAACAGGAUUAGAUACCCCCGUAGUCC
rnacentral:rRNA from 1 species